GCCUAGAUGGGUGCACGAGCGAGGGUAAUGCGUUGGGUGCGGGCGUUGGCCUGAAGUACUGGGCGUAAAGAGCUGGUGGGUGGGUUGUCGCGGUGUGCGGGAAAACUCACAACUCAAGUGUGGGCGUGCGGGCGAUACGGGCAGACUGGAGUACUGCAGGGGAGACUGGAAUUCCUGGUGUAGCGGUGGAAUGCGCAGAUAUCAGGAGGAACACCGGUGGCGAAGGCGGGUCUCUGGGCAGUAACUGACGCUGAGGAGCGAAAGCGUGGGGAGCGAACAGGAUUAGAUACUCGAGUAGUC
rnacentral:rRNA from 1 species